AGGUCAUUGUGAGGACAAUUCCUUAACAACUCCUUAAAACAAUCCCAAGCUUCAUAAAUAUACUCCCCAUCUAACUAGGUACGACAUAUGAUGUCAUUUCUAAGCAU